rnacentral:lncRNA from 1 species
CUCUCUCAUUUCCUGUCUCCUUUUCUUUGUCCAUGUCUCUGUUUGGCCCCUGCCCCUUGCUUGUCUUUUUCUCUGCUCCAUGUUUCCUUUGGUCCCUGACUUUGGCCACUCUGUCACCUCUGGGGCUCCUUGCCCCACAAGUGUGCCCACACGCCCUGCUCUUCUCUGGUUCUGACCUGGUUUUCUGCCCCCUCAUCCUGCUCGCGCCAGCCGGUUCUUUGUCUCUGUCCCUCUGAACAGCUUCCUUCUGUUCCCCUGGCCCCUUCUGCUUUAUCCCCUUUGUGCUGCCUCCCUUCUCCCUGUCCCCUGUGCUUGCUCUUUUCUUGAUUCCGAUUUAUUCUUUUAUUCCCAGUGUCUCCACUUGUGCUCUGGGUCCCUGAGUUUUCUCUCAUUUCCUUUCCCUAUCCUGUCUCAAAGAUGACUUCCUCCCCCUGACAGCUCAAACCUCUUUUCUUUUGGUGCCUCUGAACCCCCUAGCCCAUGAGUCCUUUUGUCUCCCCCACCCCUCUCGAAUUAUUAUUAAUGAUAAAAGCUCAAACAUCACAUCAGUAAUUUCUGAGUGAGUUUUGCAAUGAAACUGGGGCCUUCUCGGCCCCUCCCGAGUCCCACAAAUUUUACUUUUGUAAUUUCACGCCUCUGGUUAUCGCCACGCUGCUCCGUCCCUCUCUGCCUCUCAGCUCCCCUCCCCACCCCCCUCCCCCCCGGAGAGAGCACUUAAACUUGUUUUCAUUCCCUUAUUCUUUAUUUUUUUAAUGUCCACUCUCUCCGGAGUCAGUAAUGCUCUUCCUCUCUUUCCUCUCCCAUUUUCUGUUAAUUCUGCGCCAUCUGCCUUAGCAUCUGUUAAAAAUAAAAUUUCCCUCACACAAUGAGAAGCCUCCCUGCUCCUCCCUUCCCCCCCUGCAGCCCCCCAGGUUUGGUGCUGGGGCGUCAGAUGCCACUUCCUCUCUUGGGAUCCUCCCCCCACCCCCCAGUCCCUAGUCUGGUUUUCAGAGAAGAGACACUGUGUUGGGCAAGCAGGCAGCUGGGGGGGGGGGGGGUGUCUGCCCAGGAGGCCUGGAGCUGGAGGGGGCAGCUGCAGAGGGAGCUGGAAAUUGGGGGGGGGGGAAGGGUUGUGCAGAGGAUGGAGCAGGCUCCACCUUCUUGCCUUUCGGGGACCGGCCAAGGCUGGAGCUUUGAGCUGCUGAGACAGACCACCUGCACAGGUUAUCACUGCCUCCCCACCUUGUCCCAACCAGCAUCCCAGAGGAGCGAUGGUCCUGGGGACUAGACAAUAGAGACGCGGAUAUGAAGGAGGCACUGGCCUUGCCCUGCGGCCAGCUAUUGCCAGCCAGCCUUGAUCGACACCAAAGACGCCUAAUCUCUCUCUGGCCCGAGGGGAGCAGAAGCGUUUGUGAAACAGAUUUUUACAAAAUGUUUUGACCCUGCUCUCCCCUCCUCCCCCCUAUCCCUGCCUGGCACCGUGUCACCUAAUUAAAUCAGCCUUCGCGGGCGACUCUGCUUCCUGCUAAUUGUGCUCUGAGCCUGCUUCCGGAGGCCGCUCUCCCCACCCCCUAGCCACCACCCCAACUCCGGAGGGCAGCGCAUCGGUGGGGCAGGGUGAGGGGGGAGCUCUGAGAGGUGCAGAGGCCCUUAGGAGGGAGGCACUUGUGGUCUUCCUGCGAGUUGGUCUGCAAUCGGGGAGACUGAGUCACCCGGCCUCUGCUUGGCCAGCCUUGUUGCCCAAGGACCCGGGCCCAGGUCUGAAAUGACCCUGGGUCUCGGGGAGACCAGCUCGAGCGUAUCCGAGUAAUUGUCUCCGCCAGACGGAGGAAGAGCGAGGCUACGCGGAUUCCGAAAAUCCCAGGUUUCCUUCCUCUUCACAAGCUGCACUGGCCCCGCCUAGGCCAGUUUUGCUGGUUGCUUCCAAAGCUUGGAGGCCGAUGGGAGUGCGCUGCCUCUGUCCAUGGUUCUGAACACGCUCCAACCCGCUAUGCCUCCAAAUUUGCCCCAUGAGAGCAAUGACUGAAAACAACCUGGGUGACUGACAGGCAUCGACCUAAGAGCUUCCAAGCUCUGUUUAGUUUAACUCUCUCAGCACCCUGAGAAAGGAGACAUUCCCAUUUUGAAGAUGAGAACAUGGAGACAAAAUGGUUAAAAAGCUCC